rnacentral:rRNA from 1 species
GAUGAACGCUGGCGGCGUGCCUAAUACAUGCAAGUCGAGCGAAUGGAUUAAGAGCUUGCUCUUAUGAAGUUAGCGGCGGACGGGUGAGUAACACGUGGGUAACCUGCCCAUAAGACUGGGAUAACUCCGGGAAACCGGGGCUAAUACCGGAUAACAUUUUGAACCGCAUGGUUCGAAAUUGAAAGGCGGCUUCGGCUGUCACUUAUGGAUGGACCCGCGUCGCAUUAGCUAGUUGGUGAGGUAACGGCUCACCAAGGCAACGAUGCGUAGCCGACCUGAGAGGGUGAUCGGCCACACGGGGACUGGGACACGGCCCAGACUCCUACGGGAGGCAGCAGUAGGGAAUCUUCCGCAAUGGACGAAAGUCUGACGGAGCAACGCCGCGUGGGUGAUGAAGGCUUUCGGGUCGUAAAACUCUGUUGUUAGGGAAGAACAAGUGCUAGUUGAAUAAGCUGACACCUUGACGGUACCUAACCAGAAAGCCACGGCUAACUACGUGCCAGCCGCCGCCGUAA